GACGAACGCUGGCGGCGUGCUUAACACAUGCAAGUCGAACGGAAAGGCCCCUUUGGGGGUACUCGAGUGGCGAACGGGGGAGUAACACUUGAGUAACCUGCCCUUUACUUCGGGAUAACUUCAGGAAACUGGGGCUAAUACCGGAUAGGAAUCCUUGCUGCAUGGUGGGGGUUGGAAAGCUUCUGCGGUUUUGCGUGGACUCGCGGCUUAUCAGCUGGUUGGUGGGGUAGUGGCUUACCAAGGCUUUGACGGGUAGACGGACAGAGGGAGCGACAGGCCACAGUGGGACUGAGAUAAGGCCGCGACGCCUAAGGGAGGACGAAGUGGGGAAUAUUGCACCAUGGGCGGCAGCCUGAUGAAGAAACGCCGCGUGCGGGAUGACGGCCUUCGGGUUGUAAACAGCUUUCAGCAGGGGCGAAGCUUGUGGUGACGUUACCUGCAGAAGAAGCACCGGCUAACUACGUG
rnacentral:rRNA from 1 species